GAUGAACGCUGGCGGCGUGCCUAAUACAUGCAAGUCGAGCGAACAGACGAGGAGCUUGCUCCUCUGACGUUAGCGGCGGACGGGUGAGUAACACGUGGAUAACCUACCUAUAAGACUGGGAUAACUUCGGGAAACCGGAGCUAAUACCGGAUAAUAUAUUGAACCGCAUGGUUCAGUAGUGAAAGACGGUUUUGCUGUCACUUAUAGAUGGAUCCGCGCCGCAUUAGCUAGUUGGUAAGGUAACGGCUUACCAAGGCAACGAUGCGUAGCCGACCUGAGAGGGUGAUCGGCCACACUGGAACUGAGACACGGUCCAGACUCCUACGGGAGGCAGCAAUAGGGAAUCUUCCGCAAUGGGCGAAAGCCUGACGGAGCAACGCCGCGUGAGUGAUGAAGGUCUUCGGAUCGUAAAACUCUGUUAUUAGGGAAGAACAAAUGUGUAAGUAACUAUGCACGUCUUGACGGUACCUAAUCAGAAAGCCACGGCUAACUACGUG
rnacentral:rRNA from 1 species